UACGUAGGGUGCAAGCGUUGUCCGGAAUUAUUGGGCGUAAAGCGCUCGCAGGUGGUUCGAUGCGUCGUGCGUGAAAGACCCCGGCUCAACUGGGGAGGGUCGUGCGAUACGGUCGAACUGGAGGCCAGUAGGGGGAUGCGGAAUUCCGGGUGUAGUGGUGGAAUGCGUAGAGAUCCGGAGGAACACCAGCGGCGAAGGCGGCAUCCUGGACUGGUCCUGACACUCAUGAGCGAAAGCGUGGGGAGCGAUCCGG
rnacentral:rRNA from 1 species